rnacentral:lncRNA from 1 species
AAACACUCAGAAGUCCUUCAACCACAUCAGUAGAUAACACAGUAAAACGCUUCCCAAGACGUUGCUUGAAGUCCAAGAGAUCUAAUACAAAGGAUGAUAACUUCCUUAGUGUUCCUUCAUCCACAAUCCAUGGUCUGAAAGUAUUUUUAAACAAGACCUCAGUUCCUUGAAAUUUAUUUUUCUAUGAUGAAUGUUAUGAUGCGCAUGUAG